UACGUAGGGCGCAAGCGUUAUCCGGAAUUAUUGGGCGUAAAGAGCUCGUAGGCGGUCUGUCGCGUCUGCUGUGAAAACUCAGGGCUUAACCCUGAGCUUGCAGUGGGUACGGGCAGACUAGAGUGCGGUAGGGGAGACUGGAAUUCCUGGUGUAGCGGUGAAAUGCGUAGAUAUCGGAAGGAAGACCGGUGGCGAAGGCGGGUCUCUGGACAGUUCCUGACGCUGAGGCGCGAAGGCCAGGGGAGCAAACGGG
rnacentral:rRNA from 1 species